rnacentral:lncRNA from 1 species
AUCUAACCCUAAACCUACCUAACCCUAAACGUAAACCCCACCUAACCCUAAACCCUAUUUAACCCUAAACUCUACCUAACCCUAAACCCUUCCUAACCCUAAAACCCUACCUCAAAACCUAACCCUACCUAACCCUAACCCUAAACCUUACCUGACCCUAACCCUAAACCCUACUAAACCUAAACCCUACUUAACCCUGACCCUACAUAACCCUAAACCCAACUAACCCUACCUAACCUAAAACCUUUCUAACAUUAAACCCUACUAACCUUAAACCCUACUAACCCUAAAUUCUGCCUAACCCUAAACCCUGCCUAACCCUAAACCCUACCUAACCCUAAACCCUUCCUAACCCUAAACUCUUUCUAACCCUAAACCCUACCUAACCCUAAACCCCUUCUAACCCUAAACCUGAUCUAACCCUAAACCCUGCCUAACCCUAAACCCUACCUAACCCUAAACCCUUUCUAGCCCUAAAUCCUACUAACCCUAAACCCUACUAACCCUAAACCCUUUCUAACCCUAAACCAUGCUAACUCUAAACCCUACCUAAUCCUAAACCCUACCUAACCCUAACCCUACAUAAUCCUAAACCCUACUAACCCUAAACCCUGCCUAACCUAAACCCUACCUAAUCCUAAAACCUUUCUAACCCUAAACCCUUUCUAGCCCUAAACCCUAUAUAACCCUAAACCCUACUAACCCUAAACCCUACUAACCCUAAACCCAACCCUACCUAAUUCUAAACCCUACCUAACCCUAAACCCUAUGUAACCCUAAACCCUACCUAACCCUAAACCCUACCUAGCCCUAAACCCUACCAACCCUAAACCUACCUAACCCUAAACCCUACCUAGCCCUAAACCCUACCUAACCUUAAGCCCUACCAACCCUAAACCCUACCCAACCCUAAACCAUACAUAACCCUAAACCCUACCUUACCUUAAACCCUACUAACCCUAAACUCUACCUAACCCUAAACCCUACCUACCCUAAACCCUUUUUAACCCUAAACCCACCUACCCCUAAACCCUUCCUAACCCUAAACCCUCCCUAACCCUAAAAACCCUACCUAACCCUAAACCCUUUCUAACCCUAAACCCUGCCUAAACCUAACCCUAAAACCCUACCUAAACCUAACCAUAAAUCCCAUCUAACGCUAAAACUCUACCAACCCUAAACACUAAAAAAUAAUCUCAAAACUUAAAGCUAAAAAAACCUAAACUCUACCGCUAUGUAAUUUGUUGUUGUGAUAUUCA